rnacentral:rRNA from 1 species
UAAUAUAUUAUAAAUUAGGUAGUAAUGAUGUUUCUGAAACCUAAAGAACUUGGCGGUAUUUUAAAUAAUUGGAGGAACUUGUUAUUUAAUUGAAAUUUCCCAAUACAUCUUUCCUCAUUUUUGUUUGUAUAUCGUUGUUUAGGACAACACUUAGAAGUGUAGUCAGAAUUAAGAGUUUUUACCAAAUCAAAUCAAGGUGCAGCAUAAUGAGGUUAUAAUGAGUUACAAUAUAUUUUAUAUAAACGGAAAAAGAUAUGAAAAAUUGACGGAAGGUGGAUUCAAAAGUAAUAGAAAAUUAAAAAGUUUUUAUGAAUAAUAAUUUAAAAUAUGC